UCCCUGGUAGUCCAUUGGCUAAGACUCUGGGCUCCCAAUGCAGGCAGGGGGCCUGGGUUCGAUCCCUGUCAGGGAA
rnacentral:tRNA from 1 species